UGACUCUCCCAUCUCACUCCCAUAUGUUCAGCCUCACCAAGGAAAAGAGGAAAGAAAGAAAUAACAAACCCUAGUUAGCAAAAAUUCAAGGGAAAAUUGGUGGAUUUCAAGGAAUUAAGCAAGUAAAGGUAAAAUUUCUUGAUUUUAGCUUGUGAUCUACCUUUCCUAUGCAUUCUUUUUCAUUUUUCAUAGUUGAGAAUCAAGUUUGCAUGAAGAUACCUUUGCUGGCCGGACAUGGGGGGAGGGAUUUUGAUCUUGGAUUUAGCUAGAUUUCAUAUUAUUCUAGUGUUUUUAGUUGUUUGGUGAUGUUUGGCAUGGAAAACAAGCAAGAAAUUUCAUGCCCUUCACCCACACCCAUUGGCUGAAUUUUUCAAGAGAGAAAUUGGAAAAUGGACUUUGAUGAAUUUCAUGCUAUUUAGGUAUUUUUAGUUGUUUUAUGAUGUAAAGUGUAAAAAAAUCAAGUAUGAAAAAUCAUAGUGUUUAUGCACCCACCAUGGCCGAAUUUCAUUAGGAACCUAGUGAUGAUGAUUCUUGUGUUAUUUAGUUAGAAUUUAAUGAAUGGAGGUGAUGGAAAUCGAAAAUGGUAAUUUUAAAGUAUAGUUCUUUUAGUGAAUAAGUUGAAUAACAAUGAGAAAGUCAAGCUCAUUGAGGUGCUUUGGUGUAUUUUGGGACAUUGGAAGUGUGAUGAAUAUAAUUGGAGUCAAUUUGGAUGUUUUGGUUAAAUCAAAGGUGGAGAGUUCGAUUUAGGUCGAAAAUCGAUCCAUUCUGAUCACAAUUGAACCAACAUGUAACACCAUCUUUAAGUGACUAACCAAACAACCUCAUGCAUUCAUAUAGAGCCUGAAAUAGAUUUAUAAUGACAUGACACAAUAUAUUGAAUUAUUUGUCGUGUAUUGUGUAUAGGUGGUGAGUCUUCUAACAAGGGUAAAGACAUUGUGCCAGAGGACCAAGAAUAGGAGUAUUUCGAACUCCCGAUAUCGUGAGUAACCUUAUUAUCGUCUUAAUUAUCUAAAGUAGUUUUUAUUCGUUUUUGUGAUUUUAUAGAAAAAUGAGUUUAAAUGGUAAAUCCUUAUGUUUAAUACGUAAAAUGUGAUUAAAUGAAAUGAGUUUUAUAAAUCAUUUUGAAAUUGAAUGAUGAUUUUAGAAAUUGAGUAAUUGGAGACGGUUUGAUUGUAUUGUAAAUUUAUUGUUUGAAUUGAAUGGCUUAUGGUGAUAUUGGCAUGAAUGGCUGAAUUGGAAAUUGUGUUGAAUAUAUGAACUGUUUUGCUUUGCCUUGACAGGCUGGUAAUAUUAUAUUAGCCAUGUUAUGCUGCCGAAAUUUUAUUGAUUUGGUGGGAUAUCGAUUAGCUUACUGCAGUGGGCGGGUUUCUGUGGACCAACCUAUUAGAGGGGCACAGUAAAUCUCGUUAUAUUUUACCUCGGUACAAGAGGCGCAGAGGGUAACUCCUGAGGUAAAGCUUUAGAGUUCACUACACGCUAAACCACCACGUGAGGGUGAACUCAGCCAACACCAAGGAACGGUUAUGCUUUUAAACAUAAAAAUGUGUUUUAUGCGUAUAUGAACUUUUCUUUAACAGCCUUGGCGAACUCGGUUGGAUGCCCCGGCCAAGGUAUCCCCAAGAAUAAGUUUUGGCAUGAGUCAAAUUUUUAAGAAAUUUAUAAGCUUAUUUAUUUUGCUUUUAUACUACAAAAAUUAUUUACGGAUAUCUCUAUAAAUAUUGUUUCAUAAGAAAAUGAACUAUUUUAUUUAAUAUUUUUAUUUUAUUGUAAUAGCUAUCAUUUCACUUUAAAUGAAUGUUUUAGACAUCUAAACUUAUGUUUUGUUAUGAAAUAUGUAUCUUUCACUCGUAUACUACGUUUUUAGAUGGUUUCAAAAUUUUUAACAAAAAAUGACCAAAAUACCCCUGUGAGAUGAAAAUUAUUUUUUAUUGUUUUGGUUUGGAAAUAGCUUAUAAUCUUUUAAAAUAUGAUAUUAGCAACUGUUGCUCGCAAAGGAGGUGAGAAAAUUGAUAUUAAAACCUUGCAGGGUUUCGGUUGGCAUUCCGAGUAAUAAAUGUCUAUUGGGACAUCGCAGCAGUUGUCACGGGCUCGAGGAGAGUACCGGGUCGUGACAAAAAGUCUGUAAUUUUAUUACUUGAUACCGAAGUCAAAAUAACUUAAUUUGGAUUUUAUAAAUUACAUAUAAAAAUAAAAAAAUGAAAUAAACCCAAAGCAACCAAAAAAUCCAAUUUAAAGAUACUAGGUAUCUAAUAUAAUAACUCUCCUUCCUAUAAUACAAUUAAAAGAACCUAAAACCAUUUUUGAUUUACAAUCACCAAUUUUCACUAAUGCAGCUAGAAGCUAACCAUUAACAAUCUAUUACCAGAAGCUAACUAUUUAAAGUAUUUAUAGCUACCAUUUAUAGUACCUUUCAAUCCACGGUUUUCUGUGUAUUACCAGAAGCUAACCAUUUACAGCCCACAGUCAUUUAAAGUAUUUCCUUACUGCCUGUCUCAUAUUCAUUCAUAAACUCUAGUGAUCCACUUAACUUAAGACUUUUUCCUAAUUAAACCAAAGAGUCCUAAUCAAGACUUUACUUAAGAUAAUUAAACUAAAACCGAAUUCUGAUAUCUACACUCCUUAUCCAUCACUAAUCACUAAUCACUAAUAUGUUAAUUUUAUAUAAUAUAUAUUUAUAUGUAUUACUUUAUUAUUAUAUAUAUGUUAUAAAAAAUAAGAUAAUAAUUACAAAUAAAGUUAUUAAAAUAUAAUCAUAUAAAUAAAGUUAAUAAAGUUACUAAUAAAGGUUAUAAUUACUAAUAAACUAUUAUUAGUUUUUGUUUAAUAUAUUAUUGAUUUUUAUACCCUAUUUUUAUGCAAGAAAACAUAUUUAUAUUUUUAAUAUUAUAAAAUUCAGUGUGUAUAUAUUUUAUUUUGUUAAUAUAUUUCCUAUAAAGAUUAAUAAGAUAUAUUAAAAAAAACUUAAUAUAUUUUGAAUAAAAAAUUUAAAGAGUAGUAGGAAAAUUCCGUUGAAAAAUCUAACGGGCUUUUAAAUUUUUUCCCACCUUAAACUUUCCAACGGAUUUUCAACAAAUUAUUUUCCGUUGGAAACUUCCAACGGAAAUCUGUUGGAAAUUCCGUUGAAACUUUCGGAGGUAAUAAAUUUUUUUGGCAAAAAAUAUUUCAGAUGGAUUUCCAACAUAAUUUAUCCGUUGGAAUUAUUCCGUUGGAAAUUUGUUAGAGAUCCGUUGUUAAAGGUCAUAUAGAAAUUCAAUUUAAAAUUUCCAAUGAAUUUUUUUUCCGUCGGAAAAACUUAAUUUUCUUGUAGUGACAUAAGUAGCUAACAUUUAUUCAUAUUCUUUUGUUUCUUUCAAACGUUUCUAUUUUAUUGAAUGAAGAUAUAUAGCUUGCAAAGCUUCACAAUCAAAGAUAUUGAACUGUAAUAGAAAAUACAAUCACCUUGAAAAUGCCUAAAGACAUGAAGAAGAAAAAAACAAAACAAGCCGUAGGAAAUGACGCUGGAAACAUGAAGAAGAUAAAAGGCAAUACAAGCCUCGAGAGGUAAUGCCUGGAAACAGAAAAAUAAAGGGUAAAAGGAGUUCGUAUGGAAGACAUUAAUUCAUAUUCUCUCCAAUAAAAAAGUAAUCCAAUAUGCCAAAUGCUUCAUUCUUGUAUGAAAGAUAGGAUUCUUACAAGUGUAGGUAGCAAUGAUAUUGUCACGAUAAAAUGUUGGAGGAGCGAAAAUUGUAACCUUAAGCUCCUUUAACAAGGAUUGAAUCCAUGUAACUUUAAAAACAGUAGCAACUAUUGCUCUAUAUUCUGCGUCAGAACAAGAGCGAGCCAUUAUUUACGCCUCCACAGUGAAAUUAAGUAUUCAUACUACUGCAAUUGAUACACUCGCAAUUUUUAUUUGCAAUUUGCACAAAUAUAUUUUUGGCCCAAAUUUAGUAACUUUUACAACUUCAAAUGCUAAUGCUAUAUGGAACACCCUUUCCUGUAACCCCAGGCUCAGAGAAGGGCUUCAAAAGCUCAUAAGGAGUAAUGCCUGCUCCAUUUCGGUUCCUUAAAUUACAGUCUGCAUUUCUUUCAUCGAUAAUGCCUUCAAGCUCCUUCAGCUUUCCUUUAAAUCUUUCAAAUACCGCCUUUAUAACAAGAUUUUCAGCCCAUGAUGGCUCUACUUUGUCUCCCAAGUACUCCUCAUCCGGUGAGUGAUGUGAGAUCACAUCCCAAACAGCCAUGGCUCGAGUAGCUUGAAUUUGUGAAGGGAGGCAUUCAAGUAGUGCAGCUUCAGGUUUUCUCAAGAAAAGUCUCCAAUCUUCUUCAGUGGGGUCUUCACUGGGCAUUUUUGCUCUAGUGAAAGAAGGCCUGCUGGGGAAGUAGCCUGCAUAAGUAUAUUGGCCAAAGUUCACAGCCGCAUGGUGACCUGAUGCCACCCAAAUUAUAGUCAUGAGGAUCUCAAUUAGGUCCUGUGGGGUUUUAAGGACAGGCCACCAUGGUUCAUCCUUCUUGUCUCCAUGGCCUACUGUUCGAAUUUCUUUCCACCAUGCUUGAAGCUCUUGGUCAGAGUCGACCAUAUUUGCUUUUGGGUAAUAGUGGUUGACAUACUCAGUCACCCAUUGUUUGAGGGCAUCCCAGAUGAAGAGACCAUCAUUGGCAUAGGGGUAGUCUUUGAUUGUUAGCCUUAAGCCUUGAGGAGCAGUUGGAUCUUCAACAGCCAUUCCCCUGGCAAUUAGAAAAGAAAAAGUAAUCAAAAACAAAAAUUUAUGCAAAAAAAAAAAAGGAAGUAAAGUAAUGAAAUCACCUGCUAAUCAAAUCCGCAGGCAGUGAUUGCUGGUCAAAUCGCCAAUGUUGGUCAUAAAAGACAGAGCCAACCUCUAGAUAAUACUUGCCAAGGGUGAAUAUUUUCUCAAUUGGCCCAUCGGCACAUAUUAAUGAUUCUCUGGCUAAUGCAUUGAUCUCCAUCGUGUAGCGGAGAUGAGGAUGUAGUAAUCUAUAAAUUGGAUGCAUCAUACUGAGUUGUCGAUUAGUUGCAAUGAUAUAAGGUUCACCACAAGCGUGAGUUCUCAACCUACAGGAGAGAUUUUUAGCCGUUCCUUUUGUUAAAAGCGGUUAAAGAACCCAGAAGAAAUUAAUUGAAACAGUGGAAUAUAUACCAGUGACUAACAAGCUGGUGAUAGACUGAAUCGUGAGAAAGAACAUGAGUUUUUGCAAGUUUCCAAAGCCAGUCUCCUGUGGAAUGGAAACAAGGCGUGUAGACUUCCUUCCACUGCGGUUUCCCAUCCAUUGGUGGUCGAGUCAGCUCGAUGGCUAUAGGCCUCAAAGUCUCAUCUGGGUUCAAGAAAAAUAUCGUACGUGAUCCAUAAAGCGUUCUGCCUUUAAGAUCUCUAACUUUCUUGACAUAUGGUAAGAAGAGGUCAUGGUAAUCUAGGAUGAAUAAUUUCUUUUGCGUUAUUGCCUGCAUAAAUUGAAUUUGAAAAGAAAAACAAAUUAAGUGCACUAAUUAAAAACAAAUCAGAAAGCUCAAAAUUUCAAAUGGGUCUUGUCACUCAAAUUACCUUAUGGACUGUCAUGACAUCAUUGAUUUCUCGCUCAAUUAGGUCUACCGUGAUGGCUGAUUCUACAGGACCAUAAAUAAUAGGGUCGAGUUUGCUCUUCAAUGGCCAUUCCUGUAAUCAAGAACGAUAAGUAUAGAAAGAUUCGACACUGUUUAUGAAUAAUUUAACUUUUAUAAUUUACGUAUUUCCUACCGUGACUAGCUUUAUGCUAAAUGGAUUAAGACCAGCAAGAGUUUGGCGAGCGAAUUCCUCAUCCCUCAACCAAAAAAAUUUGUCUCCUGCAAGAGCAAAAGCACAUGAGCAGGCAUAAAAGGAGACAGAGAAGAGUUGAGAAACAGAGUGCUUACUGUCCAAUGUUUCAGGGGUCUCAAAGCGCAAAAUACUAUGAGUUUCCUCAGAUACAGUCUUGAUAAGCCUGGGCAGGACUGAUUUCCAUAACUCUGUUUUGUCAAGGGCUGGCAAAUUAAGCCCCUCAGUGAACAAUUGGUCUAUAGUGUUGAAGUCAGGAAAUCCAAGAUCAGGGUCGAGGAUUGUAGCUUCUAGCGAUGGUAUCACCGCCUGCAACAUUGAGUAUAUGAAAUUUGUGGCGAAGGAUAGCUGCUUCACUGCUGAGAAUGCUUCGUCCCUAGGCACGUAGAAAUUGGCUUGCCAUUUCUCGUAACGCGGAUCUGCAUUAACAACAUUUGAACAAUAUCAUCAAAUAUGAACGUUUUAGAUAAUGGCGAUGCAAGUAAUUGUGUUAUUUCCAUUAAAGAGGUUAUCACUGCAAUUUUUUUACCUGUGUCACACAGUGGACGUCCCGUUCUGCAACGCCGAGGGUAUGGGAACUCUUUACCACCGAGGACCGAUCUUUUCUUACUUGGAUCAGUAUCAACAUUACCAAGGUCAUUAUAGACGUCAUAAUCAUAAACCCUUUCGAAGGAUUUGCGUUCUCCUUGACCAUUGCCUUGUAAACUCACAAGCUCUUCUUCUCUCAGUUUCCUUAAUCCUCUUGGUGUCUCUGACGGUAAAUACGACUGCUCCAUAGAUAAUUCUAAUAGGAUUACAAUUUACAAGUUGAAUGCAAAAAUAAUGGACACAAAUUAAAUAAUUUUCUGAGAAUUACACAAGCACAAAACAUGAAAUGCUAAAGGGAAUUGAAAAGUAAAACUCUUUAACCUUGUUGGUAAAGAAGACUCUUUUCCGAGGGUCAUACUUUGAGUGAACCCAAGAAUUACAAUUGACAUUGACAGGGCCAUUUGGAAAACCAUCAAGGACUAUGUUCUCAAGAAACAUCUCCUUGUGAUGUAUUCUCAACAAGAACGGCACCGAGCUCACCAAAAUCUACCGGUAAUUCAAAGACUGCCUCAUACUUAACAAGCUGACCAUCCUUGCUCAUACGGUGUGCAUACCCUUUAAUUCUGGCCUUCUCUAACCCCGUCUCUAUAAAUUAAGCUCAGAAAGAAAUGAAGCACGAUUUUAAUAUAUACAAGAAGAUAUAAAAAAGAAUCAUUAUCUCUUGGAAACUCUGAAAGCUUUCUUUACUUACUAGGAUCAAGCUCAGCACUAACAAGCUCCAAGAGCAGCGUUUUGCCUAGCAAAUCUUUGAUAUCAUCGAGCCCUCGUUCUACCCCAAUGGUUUUGAGGAAACUACUAACGGUUUCUUUUACUGUGACAACAGCCUUAAACCCAACAGCCUUCUUAGUGGUAUUUGUUACACCUUUGAUGUUACUGGGGACAAACCCAACUUUAACAUUUUUGCGUGUUUUGUUCAUUAAAGACCUUGCUUUGACAGGAAGAGAAGUAGGGCCAGCGCCAUGGAAAAAUGGCUUGUGCAAUGGAAGUAGGAUUUGGAUGGGUUGGGAUUGAUGAAUCAGUGGCUUCAACAUUUGUUUGGACUUUUGGGUUACACAAGAUAUCAGGGUCUCUUGGCUCCGUAAAGCUCAGGCACUGGCCUAUUACAUAUAGAGGGCAAGGGAGGGAGGGAAACAAAGGAGAAAGAAGAUGAAGAAAGACAGUUACUCCCCAGGGUCAGUAAUGGGAUAUAUGGCACGUGAAAAAUUAACUAAGAAGAUGAAGAAAGACAGAUUGUCCUUUAUUUUUGCACGUAUUAUUAUAUUUUGUUUAUUUCAAACUGACUGUUCAAUUUUUCAAAUCAUAUAAUAUUUUCGAUAUGAGUUAUUUUAUAACUAUUCUCUUUGAAAUUAUAAAAACUAGGUUAUUCACUUAAAAUUAAUAUUUCAAUGAUGGAUUACUUUGAAGUGAACGUUAUUUUGAAAUAUUUUAAAGUAGUAAGAUAAACAUUCAAUUUGAAAUGAAAAGAUUUUGUAUUUAUCAAGAAGAAUGAAAAUUCCCAUGCUCACUUUGAAUGAGAAAAACAAAUCUAAUAGAACAUCAGCGAGGGUAAACUUCGGUGAGACCAGGGGCGGAUGGUUGUGUUACUAUGCGGGGAAAUUUUUUUAAAAUAUUUUAUAUAUUAUAUAUUUAAAACAUUAAUUCAUAUAAUUAUUAUGAAAAUAUGAUAAGGAAAAUAUUAAGACAUUUUCUGAAUUGUGCUAGAGGUUAGUAGAAACAGGAAAGUCAAAAAAUUAUCACUUGAUUGAUUUAUUAAUUCGUCUUGUUUUGAUUCUUUCAAUUUUUACAGCAAUUACUGAAAAAGCCUUUUUAAUAAUGAAAAUUAUAAGAAUAAGAUUUUGGAACAAAAUCGAUGAUCAGUUUCUUAUAGAUAAUUUAGUUGUUUAUAUUGAGAAAGACAUUACUAAUCUUUUCAGUGUAGACUUAAUAAUUGAUGAAUUUGAAUUCAAAAAAUAUUGUCGAGUACAACUUUGCUAAAAGACUAUUACAAGUAUUUCUUUUCUUAUUUUUUUAAUUUAUAUAUUAUAUAAAAUUAUUAUUUAUUAUAAAUCUUUUAAUUAUUGGUUAAGUUUAACAUAUUAAUUUUAAAAUUUUUAAUCUUUAUUCCUUUUUAUCAAAAAUUAACUAGCUCUACUACUGAGUCAGACGCCUUAUGGUUUGAUGUUUUCCCAUUUCGCAUCAUGUGCUCCUUUUUCUCCUGAGGUCUUAUUUCGUUCCCACAUGGGGUUACGGCAUUAGUAGUAUUAAUUAUACUUAUCUUUCUUAUAGACAAUGUUCAAUUUUUUUCUUUUUCUUCACCUACAUUUCUUUCUCUUUCUUUUUUCCAAAACAUCCCCCUUAACUUGUCAUCUUCUCCCGCAACUAGCCUUAACUCUCCCCUUUCCACUCCAUUUUUCCUCUGGCAAUAUGUCAUUAUUUCUACUUCGCCUCCUUUUCCCUCUUUUUCCUUUCCUCAACUGCUUGAAUAUUCUCUCUCCAUUAAAGCUUUCUAUUCCCAUAUCUAUUCUUUGUAGAAUCUUUUCGUAUGCAAUUCUGUUUCUCCCUUCAUCCUUUGUCUUUGAUUUUGACUUGCCACCAUGUGGUUCUCUCUCUCUCUCUCUCUCUCUCUUAUGCAAUAUAGGCUUAAUUUUGAAGAGGGUGAAAAGGGAUUUUGGGAUUUAGGGAGAUGGGUGGUUUUCGGUAGGGUAGAUUUUGUUUUCUCCUUUUUCUUUAAAGUUUUCUAGUCUUUUCUAUUUUAUAGUGGGUAAAGCUAAUAAAUUAUUUGGAGAAGUUGUAUGCUGAUUUUUGUGCACUUUGAUCUCUAAUUUCAGUCUUGAUUGCUGGCAUUGUUGAUGAGCUUUUGGUUUUCCUAAGUUUUAAUCUAGAUUUAUUGAUGGGCCUAUGGUUUUAAAGUUCAAAGUUGAGAAGAAAACUUUGAGCUUUUGUGAAUUUUAGAGUUUUUGUGAUUGUAUCAAAGUGGACUUUAAAAGCUAAAAUUUUAGAUGAAGUUAAAAAUUGAUUUUAUUGUGUUGGUGCAAAUGGGGUUUAAAUGGAAUUCAAGCAAUUGAUAAAAUUGACUUUAACAAGAGCUUUUCAAUAGAUAUUAUCUUUAAGAUUUAUUUUGUCCCCAUCACUCGUAUGCAAAAGGAGAAUUAUGCAUAUAGCCUUAGUGAUACAAUGAAGUCAAUAUCUAACUUCGUCUUUACACUUUAUGAAAGAAAAUCGCUAGAUACACCCGGAAGUUUGCAAAAUUCUUUGGCCCUAAAGUUUACUUUCUACAACAAGUAGAUUAUAGGGAAUUUAGAUUUCUUUGAUAGAUGAUGGGAACUCAAGUGUUUAUGUUUAUUUUCAAAAUAUAACAUUUUUAUUGCUCUUGAUUUUUCUGCUUUUGUUUUAUUUGUUUUGGUGUGCCACAAUGGUUAGUAAUAAGUCCUGUAUAUAAACUUGCAAGUGUCUUUUCUCAAGGAAACAAUCCAUUCAUCAAGACACAUCUUUAUCUUAAAGACACAUUUGCUUUUUGCAAGACAUAAUCAUCGGAUAAAAGUAUUAUUUCAAAUCACUUUAUGAAAAGAUAACUAUUCAUUCCAUAAGACAUAUCUUUGAGCUAUAGUGAUUAUUUGGCUUGACUUUUUUUCAACUUAUCUACUUCUUAAAAGCAUAAGCCGAUCCAAACAAGAUUUUGAUAAGCUUUAAAAAAAAAGCAAUCAUUUUUUAAAGAAUAAAAUCUAAGAAAGAAAGAGCUUAAGGAAAAGGUCCAGAUAGGAGCUUUUUCUUCUUUUCUUUUAAAAACACACUAGCUUUUUCGAAAAUACCCCUUUCUCUCUUUCAAUUGAUCUCCCUCUCUUCUCCCUCCUUCUACAAAACACCUUUCUCCAAUGCAACAGAAUAGCGAAAUCUGGGGUUUUAUUGUUCUUAUAAAGAUUAAGUAAAAAAAGACCCAAAAUUCAAAACUGCAUUCAAGUACUAUUUAAAGGUUUUCUCUUUGAUUUAUUAGGUGAUUGAAGAUGGUAUGAAUAUCAUAUACUAUGUAUGUUUUUUGAUGUGUGGGCCUGUGCUAUUUGCAGAAGUAUAAGUAUGAGAUGACAUCUCUCUCUCCUGAAUAUUAAUAAUUCUUAAGUAAUUUCUUUAUGGUUUAUCUUGAUUUCUAUAUGUAUGUCGAUAAAUGCUGCUUUUGAUCCAUGUUCAACACUUGAAAUACUCUCUUUUUUAGAAUGUUAAUAUAUUGAUUUUUAUAGUGUAUAUAUAUAUAUAUAUAUAUUCAUGUACACUAGUGCAUCUUUUUAAUUAGGGUUUUAUAUAUGUUCUUAAUUGUUGGUUUUGGUUUGUGUGAAUUUUUAUAUGUUUAUUUCCUUGUUGAACCUUAUAUUCAAGUAGAAAAACAAGAGACUAAAAGUUUAGUAAAGUAAUAUAUAGCAAGUGCCAUUAAGGUAUUCGGCCUAUAUAACAUAAUCAUAGCAUUCAGAUAUCCCAAUGUGAAACGACAUGGCUGAUAUAAUAUAUAGAAAUAUGGAUUUUGGUGCUACAUAAGCAAUGCAUAUAUAUUUAAUAGUGUUUAUUAUUAAUUUCUUCCAUUUGAAAAAGUUGAGAAUUAAGAAUGGUCAUUUCUUCAUGGAGUAGUAAUAAUCUUUUUUUUCCUAAUGGAGUAGUAAUAAUCUUUUUUUCCUAAUGGUGUAAUGCAUAUGCAGUCCUAAUGGACCAUUUUGGCCAAAUGAUAAGUUCUUUGAUAGUAAUGACACAAGAUCUAUUGCUUUAUAUAUCUUGUUGUAGUUUACGACUAGCCAAGAAAUGCCUCCACCUAUCUAUGAAAUUUCAAAAAGACCAAAUCAUAAUGCAAAGUGGGGUUUGGUCACUACCAAAAUCUUAUUUUAAGUUUGUACGGAUGAGAUUUGUAAGUGUGGAAAAUCAAAAAUUUCAUUUAGAACAAAAAGAUGAGAAGUUGUAGUAGAGGAAUUUAAUACUUAUGCUAAUAAAAACUAUACCAAAAAGCAAUUGAAAAAUAGACUAGAUAGUCGAAGGAAUGAGUGGACUUUAUGGAAACAAAGCAAAGAAACAGGUUUUAGGUUGGAACCAUGAGACGGGAACCAUUGAAGUUGAUGCCACAUGGUGGGAAGUCAAAAUAAAAGUAAGUAUUUUCAAUUUUAUAUGUAAAUUAUUUUACAUAUGCAUAUUGUUUAAAAGUUUCUUUCUCUUUGAUGUUUGUGUAGGCUAAUCCAAAAUAUGCCAUAUUUUGGUAUCACGAGCUAGAACAUGUCAAUGAACUUCAAUGCUGAAAUUGUUGAAAGUGUAGGCCAAUCCAAGUCAUAAAAUAGCUUAAAGUGCUAAAAUUUUAGUGUCAUCGCAAGCCAUAGAACAAUAUAGUAUUCCGAAGUGCAUUUAAGAAAUGAAAUCUCUACAAAAUGAGGGAAAAUUGAGUGCAAAUAAAUUUAAUAUUGCACUACAAUUGAUUAAAAAGGAAGAAAAUAGACUCAUUUGUAUUUCUUUGCCAAAUUUAAGUGAUAAGCUAAACUCGAUUCAAUAUAAGCAUAAUCUAUCAAAACAUCGUGGUGGGAGUAGUUGAUUAGUUUAGGAUUUGAUGAGUUUGUUUUAGGUUGAUGUUGAACUUUAAACUACUUUUUCUUUGUAUUUUUGUUACUUGUUAUGUGUAAUUGAAUUGGUGUUUGAAAGAAUUUGCUAUUAUCCAUGUUAUAUUUAUUUGAAUUGUUAUUUGUACUAUUUGAUUUGUUUGAAAUAAUAUUUGUUAUUUUGUUGAUAUAUUUGGAUUUCUAUUUAUGUAUUUUGAUAUUGUCAAACAGAUGUUUUCUAAAAAAGUCAAAGCAUCAGUGCCAGUUGUAAAAUGAAAAAAAUGAGCAAGGCUUUAUCAAAACAUAUGUGAGGAAGUUGCUGGUGCAAUUGUAUAUCACAUGAAAUACUUAAUGAAACAAGGAAACGGAUUCAAUUAUUCUGACGAGUGGAAUUUGGUACAUGAAACUUUACAAACUCCAAGUGAAAGUUAUAAAAUGUUUGGGAUGGAAUCACAUGUUGUAUUGCAACUUAAAGAUAUAUUGAUGAAUAAGGGAUGGUUACAUCCAUUUAGUGACAUGACAGCAUUAGAGGCGAUCGCUAUGUUUCUUUAGACUUGUGCAUACAACGAAACAAAUCGUAAUGUCCAAAAUAAAUUUGAAAAAUCAAGAAAGUUGGAAGUUCGAUGAAGUGUUAGAUAGUUUAUAUUUAUUGAGCAAUGAAAUUGUCAAGGCUCAAAAAUUUCAAUUUAUAGAAGUUCCACCAAAAAUUAAAAAUGAUCAUAGAAAUUGGCCUUAUUUUUAAUGUUGUAUUGGUGCUAUAGAUGGAUCACAUGUUCUUGUUAUUCCUCUUAUAAAUGAUCUAAUUUAUUUUAUUGGUCGAAAGGGAUAUCCAACACACAACGUCAUAUUAGUGUGUACCUUUGACAGGCUAUUCACUUUUGUGGCUGUUGGUUGGCCUGGCAUUGCACAUGACACCCUUAUCUUUUCAAUUGUGCUUGAAGAAAUGAAAAAUGUGUUCCCUCACCUUCCGGAAGGUACAACUUAUAAUUUUUAUGAUAUAAAGUUUGCCAUUCUAUAUAUUUAUCUUUUGAAAUUUUUUAAUGAACUAAUACUAAAACCUUUAACUUUUCUCUUAAGUAAAUAUUAUGUAGUGGAUGUUGAUUAUCCUAAUAUGAAAUUGUAUCUAGCACCCUAUAAAGGUGAAAGAUAUCACAUUGUUGAUUUUAGAGGUAGCAGUUAGCCAAAAAGUGUAGAAAAAACAUUCAACCGUGCACAUUCUUCAUUAAGAAAUGUCAUUGAAUGAACAAUUGGAGUUUGGAAGAACAAAUGGCAUAUUUUACGUCAUAUGAAGCCAUUUCCAUUAAUAAAACAAGAAAAUAUUAUUGUUGCAACAACGACACUUCAUAACUGCCUUAGAUAGUGUGGUGUUAUAGAUGAAGAGUUUGAUAGAUGUGAUCAUAAUCCCAAUUGUAUUCUUGAGAGUCAAGAAGAAAGAAAUAAUUAUGAAGAAAUGGGUUCAUAUACUUAUAGAAGAGUAUUGGAUGAUAGUUACAUGUGUAGAGUUUGCAACCAAAUAGUUGCUGCAUUGAUGAAAAAUAGAAAAUGUUGAUUUAUGAGUUAUUUAUGAAUUAUGUGUUCUUUAUAAAUUAUUUGUAGAGUUCUUUUUAUGAUUUAUUAUUAAUUAUAAACUUUAUGUUUUAUAAAAAAUUCUUUUUAUAUUUCCAAAAAGUUGUUUUAAAUACAUAAAAAAAAUAAAGUUAACUUUUUUCCAUUGUGAAUAAAGAAAUUCGUGAUUAAUAGAAAGUUAUAUAUUAAAUACCCUUCAUGGUAGUUUUAACCCAAAUUAAAGCUUAUAUAAGUUGUUUUGCCAAACAACUUAUCUAUAAAAAAGAGCUUAUAAAAGUAAAUUUACCAAAUAACUUUAGCUUAAUUUUAAAAGCUAUUAUUUUUCAUAAGAGCUUCUUAAUAACUUUUAAGCUUAAAAAAAAAAUCAAGCCAAGCAAGCNAAGCUUAAAAAAAAAUACAAGCCAAGCAAGCUCAUAAUAUGAAAAUAUAACUUUUCAUAUCCAAACUUUUGAACUGUGGUGUUUUCUUGUUGUUCCAUAACCUUUGGAUAUCAAGGUGUUUUUCUAUUAUGUCACUUUACUAAGAGAUAUAACUAUUCACAUAAAAAACACACCUACAAUCCAAUAGUCACACUAUGUCACACUAUGUGACAUAACCUUUGUGCUAAGAUAGCUUUUCAUAUGAAGAAACAACCUUUUAUUUUGAAAAUACACCAACAUAUUGUGACUAUAUUAUUUUCUAGUUUGGAUUGUCAAUGUCACAUUGUAAAAGGUUUCAAGUUGUUACAAAAAGUUUAGAUUCAUUUUAUUGUGAUUAUAUUGUUGAUUAUUUUGUGUCUUAAAUUUGUGAUUUGAUGAUUAUAUUUUGAAUCUUCUGUAAUUUAUUGUUCAAGUUUUCAAUUUUCAUACAUUCGAUGGCAAAACUUUGAAAAUUUAAGUUAAAGACAACAUUUUUGUGUCAUCUUUCAAAUAAUUAAACACCAUUAUCUCAAUAGAAACUGAACAAGACCUCAGUGUUAAGUGGGAUAAAACAAAGCACUGCUAAAUGAGAAAACAUCAAACCACAAAGGGUUUCACUAAAGUUUACCCUAAAUAUUACUUUCAUAUUCUCAACUUGAAAAUUCGCUUUUCUUUCAUUUAUAAUCAAAUAUUCACUUUAUAUUUCUUGUCUAUGGAACAAUUACUAAAGUUGCUAACAUACUUUUACACUCCAAAUCCUAACUUUUUUGGUGGAUACCUAAGAACUAGGUAAGAGAGACUUUAAAAGAGAGAAUUGUUUCCAUUGUAAUUGAAAUUCUCAUUUCAUAUUGAUUUCCACAAUAUAUGUGCCUAUUUACAUAGUACAUAUCAAUUCUACCAGGAUUAACAUUCUAACUCAACUCGUAGUAGGAGUUACAUGUCCAUGUGGAUAUACUAAUUAUAAAUUUCAUUUCACUUCACCCAACCAUAUUCCAACUUCUCCUGCUCAGACACAUUGAGCAUCAAUGUAUGCUCUAUAUCAAAAACCUCUCAAUGACCAUUACUUUUCAUAUAGGAAAUGGAGCGUGCAACCAGACAACAUAAAAUUACUUGAAGAGUGUUAUAUCAAAUUAUCACUAGACUAACAUAAGACUACAACACUGUAUUAUGAAUAUAUAUGGGGUUAUGGAGUUAUAUAAUAUAUACAUAUAUAUUAUAGCCCAUCUUGAACGGACGCCUUCCAUAAUUCAUCAAAUGACAUAGAUAUGUGUUAACAUUUUAGCUAGGUUUGUAGGUUAAAAUCAUUAUAGUUAAGAUUAUAUCCCAUCUCGCACCUUAAACUAAUUAUCUACAUUAAAAUAAAAAAUCUUUAAUCCCUCAUAUAAUAUUUAUAUGAAAUAGAGCUAUGUUUGACCUUCCAUAUACUUGCUUUCAUAACUAUAUCAAACACUUAGUUCGACAUAAUUGCCCAAGCAAUGAAUCACAAAAACUAAAUGCGAAAUCAAUUAGCUUUUCCUUAGCCAUUCAUGUCGAUCCACUUAAGCUUGAUUGCUUUCCUAGACAUACUUCUAUAGACCUAAUCAAUCACACUACUAGAAAAUAGACUUUUAAUGAUGGAUUGAAUUCUGUUGGUAAAAUUUUGUCAGAAUUUUCCAACGGAUCAAUGAUGGGAUACUGACAAAUAGUAAACUAGCAAAUUUUUGACAGAUCAUUGAUAUAAUUUACUGAUGGAACUAUAUUCAUUGGUAAUUGGUUGAUAACAUUUCAGUGCGCAUUAAUAAUGAAAAGAGAGAAGAAUACCUACCAAGCAAAUCCGUCGGUGUAUUUAUUAUCGGCAGAUAUUAUUGAUUGAAUUGCCAAUGGAAUAUGUGGUCAACAAGUGGAUUAAGUUUUCGAUGAAAUUUCUAACAAAAUGUCUGUCUGCAAUGUGUUUAAAAAAUUUAGGUUGACAAUCGAUGAAAUUGUUGAUGGAAUAUCUGUCGGUGAUUUGAAUUUAAAAAGUCAUUUUAAUGUUUAAUGGAUUAUCUAUCAGUGAUUCUUUUUUUUGUUACCGAUGAAACUUCCGUCGGUAGUUUGAAUUAAAUAAACAGAUUGGGCCCUUCCCCCCCAUUUCCCCUAUUUCUCUUUUAUCUCUCUCUAUGCUUUUUCCUCAUUUUCGCCCAACCGUCUCUACCUUAUUAAUCGCCAAUUAGAGAUUUUCUACACAGAAGUAUCGCAGACUUAACUACUUCGUUGCUGAGCCCAGCAUAGUUAUCGCCUGCCAAGCCUCUUUAAACACCAGAUUCAAGCCUUUCUUCCCCCAUUUCCCAAUUUUCUCGUUGGUAUUGUUGCUUACCUUUAUUGUCUUUUGUUCUUAUGUUACCCUUUCUUAUUUCGUCUUUUAGUAUUGUUACUUAAUUUAUUGUUUUUGGUUUUAUUGCCUGGUUUAUGUGUGCCUUGUUUAUUUGGUGUCUAUUUGUGAUGCCGAGAUAUUUUGAUACUAGUCGAGUUAUUGUUAUUCUUGCAUAUAUUAUUGUGUGUAAUUAGGUUGUAUAGCGGGUUGGUUUUCUUAUGUUAAUUUGUAAUCAUCGUUAUAGGUGGAGAGACUACUGAUCUUGAUGUUAGGAUGAUAUGAGGCAUACAGACAUAGGUGAAAUUAUUAAUAAAUAAAAUUUCCACUUUAAAAAAAAUAUUUGAGGUGAUACUAUGAAAAUUUUCCUAUUUUAACUUUUAAUUCCAAACGCUUCCUCAAUGGUGCAAUAAUUAUAAAGUUUUAUAUUUAACAAUAACAGUAUAUUUAAUUAUUUUAAUUAAGUUAAACUCAAUUCUUCCAAAUAUGUAAAUGUUCUACUAUAAUUUUAAGGUAAAAAGUAUAAUAACAUUUAAUGUUAAACAUUAUAAUUAUAUAAUUACGAGUUAAUUAACAUAUAUUAUUUUUUUAAUAUUAAAUAUGCUGUAAUAUAUUUUAUGGAAUAGGAACAAAGUAUAACAUUGAAAUUACAUUCCUGAAAAUAGACAUAAAAUUUGUACAAAGUCAAGAAAACAAAAAAGAGACAAAGAAAAACAAAAGAAAUUUAAAAAAGAAAAAACAACUGAGAAUGAAAGCAAUAGGAAAAUGACUAUACCCAACCAUUUUAUAUGUGCAACUACCAAAUAAUGUUAAAACUCAUUAUAUUAAUUCAAAUUACAAGUACUUUUAAGGCGUUUUCUCUUUCUUAAUAUCUUUUAUAAUUCUACUUAUAUAAGUUUUUUUCUUAACGUCUUUUAAUGGACGACAUUAUCUAACUAUUACAAUUAUAAAUAAUUAAGAAUGGAACAAGAUAGGAGUUGGAUGUAUUCUCGAGUAGGUUCCGAUGGAUUCCAUACACCAAAAUUUCAAAAUAGCGUAGAAGAAUUUAUUUCAUUUGCCUUUAGUCAACAUAGAUAUGUGUGUGGAAACAAGAUCAGAUAUCUUGGUCUUGGUGUAUGAUCAGUAAGUUCUUAAUUACGGAUCAGGUUUGGGAGCACUUAUAUCAUAAAGAUUUUAUUGAUGUGUACACAAUAUGGAAUUCACAUGGUGAAUCAUUACAGACUGAAAAAUCAUCGAGACAUUUUGUUUGUGACAAUGUCGAAGAAAAAGUACUUAAUGAAGGUCGAAUGGGAAAUCCAUAUGUUGAUAUAGUUAUGGAUGCUUUACGUCCAAAGUUUCAAUUCAAUGUUGGGAAUGCAAAGGAAAGGGUGACUCAUGAAGAUUCUAUUCAUAACGUGACAACCUUUUUUUCGUUGUUAAGUGAUACCGGUGUAGCUUUGUGGUCCAAAUGUACUAAGCAUACAAGAUUAUCAACUAUGUCCCAAUUAUUGAAUGUUAAGUCAAAGUUUAACAUGAGUGAGGUGGGCUUUAAUCAUCUGAUGCAUUUAGUAAAAAAGAUGUUGCCAUUGAAUAAAGCAUCAUUGAAAAAUUUACAUAGAAUGAAGGCAAAACUGAAAGAACUUGGGCUCAGUUUUAUGAAAAUUCAUGCAUGUAAGAAUAAUUGCAUGUUAUUUUAUGAAGAAAAUGAUGAGUUGUCUUAUUGUUCAAUCGAAUAAAUCAAAUAAAUCAAAGGGAGGAAGGGAGAAGAAAAUUUGUUAUAAGAUUUUACAAUACUUUCCACUCAUACCGAGGUUAUGAAGGCUUAAUAUGUCAGAAAAAAUAACCUGCCACACACCAUUCUAAUGAUUGAGUGCUUAGGCAUCCUAUUAAUGGUAAGGUUUGGCAACACUUUAAUUGCACCCAUCAAUCUUUCAUUGUAGAGCCUCACAAUCUCAGACUUGGUUUAUAUGCAAAUUGUUUUAGUUCAUUGGGCCUAACAAUGAAAUUAUAUUUUAUGUGGUCGGUUAUGCUCACUGUCUAUAACUUAUGUUUGUGGAUGUGCAUGAAGCUACCAUACAUUUUUCUUAAUAUGGUAAUCCAAGGGAGGACAAGUAUGAGAAAAACAUUGAUGUUUUCUUAUAACUUCUAAUAGUCAAGGUUCUAUGGGACAAAGGUGUUGUCAUAUAUGCUACUUUUAAGAAACAAAAUUUUAUUCUACGGGUAACACUUUUCUGGACCAUUAAUGACUUCCCUGCAUAUAGUAUGUUGUUCGAGUGGAGCACUUGUGGGCAUUUAUCAUGUCCUUGUUGUAUGGAACACGAGAAGAGUUUCAUCUUGGAGGAUGGGAAAAAGCCUUGUUUUUUUUUAUUGUUAUCUACAAUUCUUGCCAAUAUAUCAUCCUUUUCAUCAUCAAAGAGAUAAAUUUAAAAAACAUGUUGAAUGACACCUUUCAAUGCCUCAAUUGUCUGAUGUCGAGAUAUUGGAAUGAUUAGAAUCAAUCCCUAAUAUCACAUGUGGGACUAGACCUGUCAAAAUGAGCCUGGUCCAUUUAUAUUAAAAGUGAGGUGGGUUGGGGUCUAAAAAUUCAAGCCCAUAUUAAAAUAAGGCCUAGAUGGGCUAACCCAUCUGAUCAGUGGGCUGUCCUUAGUUGGUGUGAGCUAGAAGAAAAAAAUCAAUAAUUUUAGCUAACUUAAUAAUUUUAUAUAUUUAGCUAUAUAAAAUUAAUAUUUUAGUUACUAAUGGUAUUGUUUAUUUUAUAUAUUUUAAUGUUUUUAAUCUUGUCAAAUUAAUAAUUGUAGUUAAGAUUGAAACUUACUAUCUCUUUUUCUUUUAUGGCAAUAAAUAUUAGAUGAUGAUGAUUCAAACCUUAAGACAUCAUUACUAUCCAAACAAGAUUCAAAUGUUUUACUUGAAGAUGAGGAUUGAAUAGGAUAUAAAUGAGUCUUGAAGUUUCUAUUUAUUUGGUUAUGUACUUAUGUUUAUGGGAUUGUAGUUUGUGUUCAAUGUUGAAACUUUAUUUAUGUUUGAUGUAAUUUAUUUGCUUAUUUAUGUUUAGUGUAAUUUAUUUGUCUGUAACAUGUUUUUAUUAUUCACUUUAUGGAUUAAAUCAUGAAACAAUUUUAUUGAUAGGGAGUUUGUUAAGUAGAUUUGUGGAAAUGAUCGUUUUUUUGAAAAAAAAAAUAGGGUUGGCCUAGCCCAACUUAUGAGAUGACAAGGGGUGGGCUGGGCUGAAGUUUUGAUGACCCAUGUAAAAAAAGGGCUAACUUGGCCUAACCCAUAUUUUCCCAACCCAAAAUGUUUUGGGUCGAGCCAGCCCAUAUUGACACCUCUAUGUGGGACAAAGGUUGGUUAUUGGAAGCUAUCAAGUUUCGAUCAAACCCAAAAUUGAAUGAAGAAAAGAAAUUUUUGGAAUUUACUGUAUUGGCAUAUGAAUCUCAUUUGUCACAACUUGGAUGUGAUGCAUAUUGAGCAUAAUGUUCUUGAAAAUAUAUUCAACACGAUGACGGAUGUUCGAGGAAAGACAAAAGACAAUACCAAGGCCCUUAAUGAUUCGGAGGUGUGUUGCUAUCACAACCUGUUUUUAGGGGUUCAUGACCAACGUAAGAACCUAGAUGGGUAUAGCCCAUUAGACCCAAGCAAGCCUUUCACAUUCAUACAUAUAUUGAACAAUCAUGUAAAGCAUUAAGCAUUCAUUUCAUAUAUCAUGCAAACUAUUUGUUGCACCAUCACAUCGUUAGGGAAUGCUGCUUCAUAAUGUGUAGAAAUGUUCAUAUGGAUACAUCAUAACAUUUCAAAAUAUAAUUUAGAAAUGACCUCUUAAACAUGCAUUUGCACCUUGGUGCUUAACAAUUGGGCCCUUGGCCAUGAAAACAUAAGUCAUUAAGAUAUGCACUUGCCAUGAAAGGCUAUAAUUCCAUAAUAUGUUCAACAUUUAUAACAUAAAUAUAAAUAAAAGACCGACUUAUUAGCAAAACAUUACUUGACCUUUAGGCUGCAAAUGGCUGCUAGAUCACUUACUAAAAAGAGGAAUGAAUCACGUCUCCAUGACACAAGUGGCUAAAAAGAGUAUGGUAUCACAUAUCUACAACAAAAAUAUGGAAAACUAAUGUGUGAGUCACAAAGACUUUGUGAGUUGAUAUAGGGAAGGGACAAGUUAAGGGGUUAAAGCUUUUGUACAAAUAAUAUCUUUUAAUAACAUGCAAGUGUGAACUUCAAUAAUCAUUCAUUAAAUCCUUGGAAAUAGAAAUAAUUCAAAUUUUAAAAAUGCAGUUUUAAACCACUUGAGUUGAAUACUAAACCUUCAAAUUAUUUGUUAGCUUUGAAAUUGAUCCUAGUUUUAAAGUGACAAAAUUCAAUGAUCUAACUAUGUCUUGGAGUUAAAAGGAAAUGAUUUUGUAAUGCAAUAACUUUCCUCAAAGUGUUUUAAAGUUGUUUGUGAAAAGCAAAAUCAUUUGAAUGCUUUAAAACCAAAGUUCCAGCAAGUAAGAAUUGACUUUUGAAAGUGAAGCAACGAUUCUUUGUGAAACAAAAAGCAAUAUUUUGUCUUUGAAAUAGGAAAGAAUCAACUUUUCAGAAAAGGAACCAUCAAUUCUGAAGAAAACGAAAGCUACUGGGUUGAAAGAAUUGACUUUUGAAAAAGCAAAAGUUGAUUCUUGAGAAAGAUGAAGCACAGUGAAGAGCCAUUGGAUAGAAAGAAUCGACAUCUCAAGUAUCUAAUGAUCAAUUCCUUCAGCUAUAAUGCAAAAAGUUUGGAAACUUGUUGAAAAAGCCAAAGGGGAGAAAAGGACAAGCCUUGAAUUGUAAAAACAAAAUUUGAAAUAUCAAUUUGACGCUUAAAUGACAAAAAGAAUUGAUUUCUAGAGAAGGCACAAAUCAAUUCUUACAGGAUAGAAUACUCUAGAAUUAAAAUGAGACAAAAAAAUGACCAUUCAAGAAUGCAAUGAUUUUAUUCCUAGCAAACAGAGAGCAUUAGGCUCAAAAUUGAAGCAAGAAGAAUUGAUAUCUAAAUAGUAGAAAGAUUAAUUUUUUGGAAACAUAAUGUCUUGGGUUGCACAAGAAUCGACUUCUCUUAUGCUCAAUGAUCGAUUCCUAAAGGUCGGUUAAUGUGAUUCAAUCGGCCUCAACUUUUGACAUUAAGACAAAACCUCUCUUUAAUAGGCAAAAAUCCAAAGGCACUAUAAAUACCUUCCAAAAGCAUCAUUUGAAAAGUGAGAUGAGAACAAAAGAAACAAAAGAGAGCAGAAAUUGAUUCUAAGAAGGGAGCAAAGCUUUCAUUCUCAAAAUUCAUUCUUUGCUCACUCUUUAACAAACUCUAAUAAUACAACAUCCUUGUUUAAGCUUCAAUUCUUUGACUCAGCUUCAUUUUCUUAUACGUAACCUUAGUUGAUUAGCCUUUCUAGUGGCAUCAAAUCCUGUAAUCCACUGUAAAAAGUGUCAUGACCCAAAUUCCGGGCUAUGAUCCGCGCAAGGGUCCAAUGGACGUAAUCCACUAAACCCAAGCAAGCCUAUUAUUUAUCUUACUUAUAGUUUCAUAUAAUAUCACUAAGUCAUAUUUCAUAACAUUGAAUCAAAAUAGUGAUAUACAUUGCCAACUCGUACUGGCAUUACUCCUUAAAAAUUUACAUACAAUGCCUGCAACAUGUCUUCUAAUAAUUUACAUUAAGUUCGUCUAUACAAAACAAAAUAACACUCGACUUCCAGCGGAGUGACUCGGAUGAAUAUACAGCUAUCGAAUGCCGAGACACCUACCAAAAGAUGGACGCAGGUCUACAAGGACACCUCGUCCUAGUUACCGGCUGCCUCGUGAUCUGAAAACAUGAAUUUGAAAAUGGUGAGUAUAAACCCAGUGAGUGAACAAGGAAGGGAACAAGCAACAACAACAAGGGAGAAUUUAAAAUCAUGAUGCACUUGUUUCAAAACAAUGCAAUUUAGUUCCAUUCAUAUUAAAAACCCCUCAUUUUAAACUUAACUCAUUUUGUCCUAAAUGUUGGAAGUCCAUGCUUAGAUAUGGUAGCAAAAAAGUGAAAAAUAGGGCAGCAAUUGGGCAAGAUAGAAGACAAAAUAGAAAGUUUUUCGCUGCAACGAGAAUGAAUUUCGCUGCAGCGAAAUUGUUACCCAGAAACAGAAAGUUUUUCGCUGCAGCGAGAACCAGUUCUGGUGAAAGGUCCUCAAACCCGAGAGUUUCUCGCUGCAGCGAGCAUGACUUUCGCUGCAGCGAAAACAGAGCAACAAGAGAAACAUUUUCCCUCACUCAACAAAAAGCCAUCCUGCUAAACUAACAAAAUCAACAUAAAACUCAUGAAAAUUCUCAAAGUACAAUGUGUCAAAUUUCACAUAUAUGUCAACCAUAUAUCACAUUCAUGAGCUUUCAUUUCAUAAAUCUAGAUAUGCAUAAUUACAUAGACAAACAUCAAUAUUAUCAUAAUCACUCUCGGCUCUUGUACAUCCCCCCACAUUAUGCACAUAGCCGGCACCAUCAUGUGCAUCCCCCCACAUCGUGCACAAUCAGUGCUAUCGUGUACAUCCCUCCACAUCGUGCACACGGGCACUAUCAUCAUCUAUCUCUCACGCCACCACCAUCACCGGCAUGUGCAUUCUCCACCUCAUGCACACACAUGGUUACAGUCAUUAUAUACAAUAUCAUUCAUCAUGCACAACACACACACACAUAUAUAUAUAUAUCAUCAUAAUACAAUAGUGCAUGAAUCUAUAGCAAUCACAUAUUACAACAUAAAACCAUUUUUCAAAAGCUUGUUCCCAAGGCACUUGUUUUCAUGAAAAACUUGAUAAUUCAUUCAAAUGGGUGGCAAUUACAUUAUAUUCCCAAAACAAGUUUUAAAGUCAGUCCACUCACAGGUGUCGAAAAUUCAGAUUUCAGGUGCACUUGGACUAAUAGUCCUCAAGUGCAAUUCCUUUGCCUUUUCCGGACGUCUCACUACCUUGACAAAUAACAAAGUUGAGAAAUUUACUAUAAUGUCCCUAAAUUGAUAUAAACUAAUUUAAAUUACUAAUGCUUGAUAUGUAAAUGCAAAAAUAUGUUUGAUUACCGCUUAAUCGCGGUAUCGAUUAAAUUCGACUGAUCACCCGAUUAAUUAGCGAUUGUGUCCAAAUCACCUCCAAAUUAAUCCAUUUCUCCUCUAAUACCUUAAUUUACCAUAUACCAUUUAAAUAAAGCCAAAUUCAGCAUUAGAACCCUCACAGUUCCUUAUAAAAAAAUUUGGUCAUUUGGUGCACUGGCACCGAAUUUUUUUCUACAUAACCAUUUCACCUUAAUUCAUCAUUUUCCAAGUCAUUUUCCUUGAAAUAAAAACAAUCUCCCAUUGAUAUUUAGCCCUCAUGGUUCGACCAACAAGGAACCCUAGAGAAAUUGAAUAUUUCUUUUGUGUUUUUGUUCAUAACCAUGCUUAACUAUCCCUAAACACUAACAUAGUCUAAAAUCAUGUUUAUGUCAUAUAAUAACUGAUAUUAUGGAUGAUUUCCAUGGGAUUACUUAUGCUUAUAUUCGCCACAAGAUAGCUUAUACUUGGGUAAUGUUUUAUAUUGCUUUCGCAGUAUGAGUGCGUAAGCGUGUAGAUUGAUAUUGUAUUUUCUGAUAUAUGAUAUAAUAUGUUUAUACCUACUUGAUAUGAUACCAAGGUGAUGGUUCCCAUGAGGCACAUAUGGUUAUUGGUUUCUUUGUUCAUCGUUAUGCUUGCAUGGGUUAAGAGGGUCACUCCCAUCGAUACCUUUGCACUGGUCAUGAUCUCGGAUUUAGGUCGUGAAAAAGUUGGUACCAGAGCCCUAUGUUUAACUAAGUCCUUAGUGUUUUGUUUGAGUUAGUAGAGUUUUGGGCCUUUAUGGUGUGUCUUGUUUUUGACUUGCGAACUACAGCACAACUCACAAACGGGAGACAAUAUGGAAUCCUUUGUCUGUCUAGUACCUACCUUUGUCCACUUGUAUUCAGUUUAGUGUUAGCUCUUGUCCAGGUUAAGACGUCACCUUUGACACGAACAAUUUAAAGAGCAUGAUAGAGUAAGAUGCUCUCGUUGAUAUAUGUAUGAGAUCACAGAUGCCCACUGCUAAGGUCGUGGGGGGAACAGUUGUUAGGUAUAAAGCUCGUAGCCAAUUGGAUUGCUCAAGGUUUAUAUCUUUAAUCAUGCAACAAGAUACUCAUAAUGAGUGAUCAACGGUUUUUUUUUCAUCAAUAAGCUAUUGCACGUAGGCUUAUUAGAUGAAGUCAAAGGAAUUGACGUGCCUUGCAAAGGAAUUGUAAAGUGUUACAAUUAUGAGAUGUCUAUGCAUCAAAGCAUAAUUCCUAAAUUGUUCUUGGUUGAUGUAUCUUAAGACUCGACAUUAAUGAUUCUUAUAGACUAGCACUUUGUAUGUUCUUUACUUUCAAAGUAAGCAACUGAUCUCAUAGGUUGAAGUAUAGAGAUACUUGAAACUAGAAUAUGGAUGCUUGUUCUUAAAACAAGUUCACUAAAUGUGACUUGCUAUGAGGAUUCCAUUUGGUAUGUCACUCAAGUGUCUUGGAUUAUAUCCUCAUGUGACAGUCGUGUAAAAGAUCAUUAGAUUUAAGACACCAACUUGUCUUGUAUGAGGAUUGCUAUACUUUGAUAGCAUUUUAAGGGUUCCUAACCACGGAUGCUCGAAGUGAUGGACAUUGUGUAUAACAUGAAACAUAUAAAGGCAAAUGAGUGGUCAUGAGAAUUUUCACCAUUCCAAGUAAUUAAGGAGAUGUGUCUUAAUUGAUCUUGCCUUUAAUUAACUUAAUGAAGUCUUUGGCCAAAGCAAGAUGGAUUUUGGAAAAGAAGUUUUUUGUAAUCCAUGUUAGCUAAUUAAUGGUUGAAAGAGCUAAUAUGGAAAAAUCAAGGAGUAGACACUGCACCAUGCUUCUUUUAUUUUUAAGACUAUUGGUGAAAUGAUUCAAUUGCAUUGAAAGACUAAUAAUUGAAAGGUCGAGUCAAACCAUAUUUAUUGUUUUAACAUUUGGGUGGCUAUGAUGGAUUGCUAGAUCCCACGUUUGGUCUAUGAACUUUAUAUAGUUAAUUUAAUUAAUGAUAAAUUCAAAAUAGUUUAAAUUUAUCUAAUCCUAAGUUUAAUGAUUAUAUCUUAAAUUCAUUGCCAAUAUGGUGAAAGCCUAAUGGGUCAAACACAUAAAAUGGAUACUAAAAAUAAAAUGCGAGAAGUGAUUAUGUUUGACUUAAUCAAAUUAGAAGUAAUAAGCUUCUUAAGGACUUAAUUAAAUAAGUUAAUUAUGUUAUUGGGUAAUUGGCAAUUUACAUAAAAGAUAUAUAAUUAACCUAAUUAAUGCUUAAAUUAAUCCAAUAUAUAAAUGCUUUGUUAUAGUCACCCAACACAAGCAAGCCUACACACUUACAAACACUCUUGCCCUAGUCUCACCCUUUGUGAAAAGGAAAAUGUUUUCUCUCACUUUGUGCUUAGUGCGUUCGACCUUAGGGCUCAUUGUGUGGGAAUUUGAGUUUAUAAAACUGAUCUUUGCUAACACACUUUCAAUCCUUGGAGAAGGAUUUUCAUAUUCAUUGGUGUGGAUCAGUGUUAGAGGCUGCACAAGAAUGUCUUAGACAGCUUUAGUUUGUAAUAACUGUGCUAAGGGGGUUAACUCUUUUAAGGUUGUUAUGUUGGUUUAACACAAGAUCAAGCUUCCUUUGUUAAUGAGGUAAUAUCAUCUGAUCAUAUGUUUAUAUCCUCAUUUUUGUUUUAGUGCUCAAAUCUGCAAGAAAGAGAUCUUAGGAAAGUAAAGUGUGUUUUUGUUCAUUCAUUUUCUUCCACUGCGAUUUUAUUAGCAUUUGAUGCAUGAUCAGCCAAUAGUAGUAGAGCCAAAUACUCUUGCUUAGACUAUGCUAAGACCAUGUACGCCUAUAAAUGAUGGCUGUAGCAAGCAUGAUAGAGUCAAAUGCUUUCGUGGACAAUAUUACUAGGUCACUCAAGCCCUUACUUAGAAGCUAUGGCAAGCAUGGUUGAGCUGUAACACCAAUGAGGAAAAAAGGCCCACUAGGGAAUAUGUGGAGAUUAUCCUCCCAUGGAUGUGAUUAUGAUGAGUUGAUGUUCCUUGUAAUUGGAACUCAUGAUUAAUGUAUGCCAGACUAGGGCACAAGUGCCAUCUAAAACUUGAGCCAUGAUUAAAGGAAAUUUUGGAGCCAAAGACUCCUAAUGAGACAAUGAUAAGGUUAUGUGUUUAAAUUAUAGUUGCCCCAAUAGGAGAGGUAGGACUACUCAAAAUGCUUGAACCUAGAUAAUCAAGGGUAAGAAAAUAUAUGUUGUUCACAAAAUGACGAUGAAGAUCCUUGGGUUGAGUACAACACUAGACGAUGAAAUAAAGGAAUUUUAGAUAGUAGUUACGAUGUUAAAAAUGUGAAUUAAUGAAAACUAGCAAUUGAUUUUGUAUAUGGGUUGAAUAUUAGAGAGAAUAGGACAAGGACUUUGUAGUCACCACACCUUGAGGAAGAUGAUGGUAGACCAAGUUUGAGUAUAAGUCUUGUGUGGUCCGAAUAAAGGAUAAGGACACAUAAGCCACUUUGAUUCUACUUGAUAUGCUAGACUCUAAUGUAAUUUUGGAAUGGAUUAGCUAUCACUAAAUUAUGCUAGUGUGGACUACCACCACAAUCUAGUUAUAUUUGAUUACCUAGGAGAGCGUUCCUUUAGUAUUCAGAGUGAUUCUAGUAUUGCUUCAAUCAAUGUGGUUUCUUUCAUGAUAGUGAAGAGAUUAUUGACGAAUGGAUGCUAAGGAUUUUUUGUAGUUAUUAGAGAUACUCAGGUGGAGGUCGAAAGUGUGACUAACAUGCCCAUCAUUAGGGUGUUUUUCGAUGUGAUCCCAAAAUAACUACCUAGUUUGCCCUUAGAAAAAGAGGUGGAAUUUUGCAUAAACUUGAUAUUGGAUACCUAACCAAAUCUAUUCCACCAUACUGUAUGCAAUUGGCAAAUCUUAAAGAACUCAAAGAUCAAUUAGAGGAUUUAUCGAAUAAGGGUUUUAUAUGCCCUAGUGUGUUGUCAUGGGGUGCACUAGUGUUAUUCGGGAAUAAAAAGGAUGGAUCGCUUAGGUUAUGCUUCGAUUACCGAUAGCUCAAUAAGGUAACAAUAAAGAAUAAGUAUCCAUUUCCUUGAAUUGAUGAUUUGUUUGAUUAGUUGUAAGAAGCACAAUGUUUCUCCAAGAUUGAUCUUUGAUGAGGUUACCACCAACUCAGGAUUAGGUAGGAAGAUGUACCUAAGAUUGCAUUCCAUACUAGGUAUGGACAUUAUUAGUUUUUGGUUAUGGCAUUUAGUGCCCUGGCAACUUUUGUGAACAUGAUGAAUCAAGUGUUCAAACUUUACUUGGAUAGUUUUGUGUUGCUAUACAUUGAUGAUAUUUUGGUGUACUCAAGGAGUAAAGAGGAGCAUGACCAACAUCUUAGGAUUGUGCUUCAGGUGUUGAGAGAUCAUCAAUUAUAUGCCAAGUUCUCCAAGUGCGAGUUUUGGCUUGAUAGUGUUAGCUUCUUAGGUCAUGUGAUUUCCAAAGAAGGAGUUAUGGUAGACACAAAGAAGGUAAAGGUCAUAAAGAGAUGGCCAAGGCCAACCUUUGUGACAAAGAUCCACAGCUUUUUAGACUUGGCAAGAUAUUAUAGACGAUUUGUCAAGGAUUUUUCUAGACUUGUAACACCAAUGACUAGAUUGACUCAAAAAAUGUGAAGUUUUAACGGAAUGAGGUUUAUGAAAAAAGCUCUAGAAAUCUCAAGAGUUGUCUUACUUCAACCUUGCACUUAGCUUACAAUAGGGAGUGGGUGCAUAUGUAGUUCAUUAUGAUGCCUCACGUGUUGGUUUUGUUGGUCCCAAUAAUAUGUGCUAGAGGGAGGGUGAAUAGCACAAAUCGGCUCUUGACAAGAUAAAGAACUAAUUUUCAUAACAAAGAAAAUAAAAACAGAGAACAAUGCACAACAAUUUAUAGUGGUUCGGUCCAAGACCUACAUCCACUACCUUGAUUAUCCAACCAAGGAUUUUCCCAACAAAUCCAUUAAGAAUCGGUGAAAUUCACAAGCUUUCACCAAGCUUUACAAUGGCUUUUACAAGACUUAGCCAAAACCUUUUACACUAGUUUUUCACGAGCUAAACUAAAACCCAACACCUAACUUUUCAAGGCUAAGUUAGAACCUUAACACUUUCAAGCACACCGGGCUUGAAACAACCUCUUAGAGUGACUCCCUCACUCUAAGAAUAAAAUAAGAAAGGUAGAAAAAAGUACCUAUGAUCACAAGUUGAUCUAAAUGGUACAAGGUUGAGUGAUGAAUACAAGUACAAAAGAUUAUCGUUUGAGUGCUGCAAAGUGUGGAGAAGAUUUUCUGAUUUGUCUACUCUAUAAGGCUUAAAUCUUCUCUCUAAACUCUAAAAACUUCCUUCUAAUUGUUGAAAGACCCUUUUAUACUUGGAGAAACAUCUCUGAUGGCAGUUUGACAGUUUUCUAUCCAUUGGAGACAGUUGAGAGUCGAUUCUAGCCGUUACUCUGUCUUUUAGUGCAGAUUUCAAACGUGCAAGCAGAAUGCUCUUAGUCGACUACUCGAUAUCUUAGUUGACUAGGUUGUCUCUGUUUUCUUCUCCCUGUCUUUGACAGUUCUAGCAGUAAGCACUUAGUCGACUAGUCCAUUUCUUGGUUGACUAAGUUGUCUCUGUUUCUCAAACUCUUCAGCCCGCCAUUUCUCCAAUUUGAAUAUUGGCCAACCAACAUUCUUCCUUAUUCAACUAAUGAGCUUUCUCCUUGUUAAUCAUUCAUGUCUCAUUAAUUUUAUCUCUCUUUUUCUUUUAAUAUAUAUUUUGAAGGAUUGAUUUAUUAUUUACAUAAAAUUUUUGUCUUGCACACUUAAACAAUAUAGUUAGACACUAAUGAAUAGGAAUGUUUUACUAUCAUUAAAAACUAAUUGAGUCAACAAGUUUGGGUUGUGUGUUGAUGCAACAUGGCAAAGUCCUAACAGAUGCCUCUAGCAGUUGAAAAAGCAUGAGCAAAACUAUCCAACUCAUGACUUAGAAAUGGUUGUCAUUGUGUUUACGCUUAAGAUUUAGAGACAUUAUGUUUAUGGCGAGACUUGUGAGAUCCAUACAGAUCAUAAGAGUCUCAAGUACAGUUUUGAGUAGAGAAAUCUCAAUUUAUGGCAACGUCAAUAGAUGGAGUUACUUAAGGACUACGAUUAUACUAUCUUGUAUCAUCUUGACAAGGCGAAUGUGGUAAGCGAUGCCCUGAGCUAAAAGUUUAUGGGAAAUUUAGCCCAUCUAACUAUAGGUGAAAGACCUUUGAUGAAAUAUAUCCAUGAUUUUAGAGACAUGGGAUUACAUUUUAAGUUCAAUGAGACUGAUGCUAUAUUAACACAUUUUUGAGUUAGGCCUAUGCUACUUGAUCUCAUUAAAGAAGCCCAAAAUAAGGAUGAAUGGGUGACCAAGGCCUUAGAUGAUGCCCAAGGGAGAAGGGGCAACAUUUUUUUAGAGAUUCUUAUGGACAGACUCAGGGGAGAGAUUCUUAAAGAGGCACAUUUGUCGGCUUAUGUAAUACAUCUCGGAUCUACCUAGAUGUACCAUGAUAUGAGAGAGCUAUGUUGGUGGAAAGGUAUGAAAAGUGAUGUAAUCGAGUUGGUGCUAAGUGUUUAGUAUGCCAAAAGGUUAAGGCGGAGUGUUAAAGGCCCAUAUUGUUGUUACAACCUUUACUCAUUUCCAAUUAGAAGUGGGAGCGUAUAUUUAUGGAUUUUGUUUGUGACAGGGUUGAUACUUCUAUUCGAUAGAGUUAUUUGACACAUUUUAGGGGCUUAAGUAGCUAGGCUUUUGAGAUUUUAGAUUUUGGAUUUUAGCAUUUUAAGUGUGUCAUGACCCAGAACUCCCAUCGAGCCCAUGACAACCGCUGCGACGUCCCGAUAGACAUUCAUUACACGAAAUGUCAAUCGAAACCUCGCAAGGCUUAACAUCAGUUUUCGCACCUCCCCUAUGAGCAACAGUUAUUAAGUAUCAUGUUUUGAGAUAUUAUAAACUAUUUUGAAGUCAAAACAAUAGAAAAAUAAUUUUUUUCUCACAAGGGCAUUUUGGUCAUUUUCCUCAAAAAUCUCGAAACUAGCUAAAAAUGUAGUAUGCAAGUGGAAAACACAUAUUUCAUAAUCAAAAAUAAGUUUAGAUGUCUAAAACAUUUAUUUAAAGUGAAACUAUAACUAUUUAAAUAUAAUAAAAAUAUUCAAUAAAAUAUUCUAUUUUCUUCUAAAAUAAUAUUUAUAGAGUUACCGGUAAAUAAUUUUUGUAGCGUAAAAGCUAAAUAAAUUCAUACAUACUGUAAUACAGAUAACCAAAGUAUAAAAUUUAACUUACAGUGACACGUGGGCCCACGAAUGACCAAAAGUAUUAAAAGCGGUAAACUUAUAGUUUUUUAAGGAUGCAAGUCUAACUGUAGCCCUCAACGAAAUGAGUUAUCUACCGACUAUCCUAAGCCUGAAAGAGGUGGAAAAGAGGGUGGUAAGAUUAUAUAAUCCCAGUGAGUAAACAAAUAUCAUCUAAAAUAUAUAAAGUUGAGUAAAUGGAGAUAGAUUAAAAUAGAUCAUCAUAUUGUAAUUCAUCACCUCUCAACUCAUUUCAACCAAAUAAAAUCAAUUCAUAUAAAUCAAGUAAUCAACAAGGCUUAUGAAUUUCUUAAAACUUUGACUCGUGCCAAAAUCAUUCUCAUACUCAGUUAUCAGGGAUACCUUGGCUUAGGGCUAUCCCAACCGAGUCCGCCAAGGCUGUUAAAAAGUCAUGUACGCAUAAAUCAUGUUUUUAUUUUGAAAACAUAGCCAUUCCUUGGCGUUGGCUAAGUUCACCCUCACGUGGUGGUUUAGCGUGAAGUGAACUCUAAAGUUGUACCUCGGGAGUUAACCUACACGCCUCUCCGAUCGAGGUAAGAAUAUAACAAGGUUACCGUGCCUUUUAAUAGGCUGGUCCACAGAACCUGCCCACUGCAGCAAGCUAAACCUACCAUACGGUAAAAUUUGCAAUAGCAUGACAUGGCAAUUAUAUCACAAUCCAACCUCUCAAGGCUAAAUACACAGUUCAUAUAUUUCAACACAAAUACCAAUUCAGCCAUUCAUGCAAAUAUUGUCAUAAGCCAUUCAAUUCAAACCAUGAAUUUACAACACAUGAAAACAAUCUCCAAUUACUCUAUUUUCAAACCAUCAUUUCAUUUCAAGACAAUGUUAUAAAAUCAUUUCAUUAAAUCACAUUUUAAUUACAAAACACAAAGAUUUACCAUUUAACUCAUUUUUCAUAAAAUCACAGAAUCGGAUAAAAACCACUUUAGAUAAUUAAGAUGAUAGUAAGGUUACUCAUUAUUUAGGGAGUCAAAUUCUGAGUACUCCGAUUCUUGAUCCUCGGGUACUAUCUCUUUACUUUUGCUAAAAUGCUCACCACCUAGAUAUACAUGACACAUAAUUCAAUAUACUGUGUCAUACCAUUAUAAAUCUAUUUCAGGCUCUUUACUAAUGCAUGAAAUGGGAUGUAAAAUACUCGAGUAACUAUCUAAAUAUGGUGUUCAAUAUAAUUUCAAUUAUGUACCUAAAUAAAACAGUAUUGGCCUAAUUUGAUCUAUCACCCGAUUAAUUGGUCAAUACGUCCAAUUUAACUCCAAUUAACUCCAUUUUUCUUCCAAUUCUCCAAACCAUCAAACACAAGUCAAAUAGCAUAAAAUUUAGCAAAAUCAUCCUCACAUUUCUUCUUGAGAAUUUCGGUCAUGGUGAGUGCAUCAACACUAUGAUUUUUCCUACUUGAUUUUCUCACCAUAAUUCAUCAUUUCCUAACCAAUUCACUUGAAAUAAAAUCAAAUCCACCAUCAACACUCUACAAGGAAGAUUUGGCCAAUGAUGAACUCAUGAGGAAUAUGUGAAUUUCAAGCUUAAUUCUUACACUUAACACCAUAAACAACUAAAAACAUCCAUAUAUCUUAAAAAUCUAUCUAAAUCAUCAUCAAAUUCUCUCUCCUAGGGUUUGAUCAGCACACAAUCCUUCAUGAUAUCUUGUGAUUCAACCAUGAAAAAUGCAAAAGAAUGUAUGGGAAAGGUAGAUCACAAGUCAAAAUCAAGAAAUUUUACCUUUGAUUACUUGAUUACUUGAAAUCCACCAAAUUUCUCUUGAAUUUUCACCCUAAGGUUCUUGUUCUUUCUUUUCUUCCUUUGUUCUUGCUUUGGCCGGCCAUAAGAAUAAGAAAUGGGCUGGUUUUGUGCUAAUUUAAAAGAAAAAUAAUAAAAAAAUAAGAGCUUGACACUUGUCACCUUACAUUGGUCCAUUUUUAAAUUCUUAACUAUUAAGCUUUAUUUCUCCACCACAUAAAAUCCUUCAAUAAUCCAUGAUAAUAUUGGGUAAAAUCCAUGUGCUGGACAAGUGUUGGCUGGUGUAAAAUUACAAUUUUUCCCAUGGGGUAGCAAAAUGACUAUUUUACCCUUAUCCUCGAAAAAAUACCGAAAUUAAAAUUCUUCACUUCUCAAACUCAAAUUAUACUCAAAAUGAUCAAUCUUAGUCAAAAAUUUCAUCCAACACUCACAUCUUAACCUCAGGUGGCAAAAUGACCAUUUUGCCCCUAGGUCAUGAAAUUUUCAAUUUGACUCCAAAUCGAUCCUCGAACUCUGAAUCACCAUUUUAAGUCAUUCUGGGGUUUUAAAAUUCUCAAUUUCAUCUUAAAAUUUCUAUUUAGACUAGUUGAAGCUUAAUUCAACUUAAUUGUACCAUUUGGUACAUUAUCGUCCUUUAACGAUUUCUAAGGUACCUGAGUAAGCAAACAUGCAUUCUUAUAUAAGAAUGGCAUAAUAAACAUAUUGUAGAGCUGGGCUUGACAAAGUGUUUUACUAGUUUAAGUUUGAUCACAUGUUGAGUGGUUAAUUUAAGUUAUUUUAGUUAAAUUUUAUGUUAUUUUAUUUUAAAUUACUUUAAGAGUAGUUAUUACUAAUUUCUACUAUUGCUUUUGUAGGAAAUUUGAUAAAAAAAGGCUCAUUUGAUGAAAAUCAGUGCAAGUAUGGUGAUGGCUUUAUUUGUAUAUAUUUUGGUAUUUUGAUCAUAUCUUUCUAUACAAAACUCCAAAUGAGGUGAUUCUUAGACCACUAGAAUUCUAAAAGAAAGGACUACAACUUUUAUGUUUACCAUUUUGCUCAGUUCAAAGUAGAUCAGGGUGAAAAGUAUGUUUGAAGUUGAUGGACUGUCAUAGUGUUGGGAAAACAAGGCUGCAGCGCUGGUAAAAGGAAGCACACAACACAUUUUCCCCGAGAGCUUAAAGCCACAGCAUUGAAGAAGUAGCACUAUAGUGUUGGGCAAUUUUUCAAAAGUAAGAAUUUGAUUAAAUUUUGGAAAUUUGGUUACUUGGAGCCUAUUUAAGGGACCUUUUUUAGAGGUUUAAGGGUGGAGGCAACAAGCAACUAUUCUGGAGAUUUGGAACCAACAACAAAGCAAGAAAAUAAGAGAAUUGAAGGGAAAAUCAAGAUCACAAAGCUCCCAUUAUUAGUUUUUUCUCUUUACUUUUGUGUUUUUCUUAUUUUUUUUAACUUGGAUUAAUGGUUAAUUUUCUUUGGAUGAAGUUUUUAUUAGAUAUUAUGACCUAAAUUUAUUUUUCUAGGAUUGCAAUUGAACUCACGUGUAAUCUAAAUUUUUAAUCUCUUUCAUGCUUAUCUUUAAUGGGAUUUGAAUUAUUUAUUCCAAUUUGUUCUUAAUGCUUUUAAUUGCUUGAUCACCAAUUAUAUUGAUUUAGGAACCUAAACAAACUUGGGAAAGGGAGUUUAGUGUAGACUAAAAUUGGGAUAGCAUAUGAACAUAUUAAUUGAUUUGUGUACAGGAUAAGGAUAUACCUAUAGGUUUUAUGUAGCUAGAUUGGAGCCUGAACUUAAUAAGUCUAUUUUAAUUUCAAUUCACAUAGGGAUAUAGUGUUUUGGUUAAAAUAGAUAUUUUUAUAGGAUGAGUCGAGAGACUUUUAUAAAUAAUUGAGGACUCCAGAUUAGCAAUUCAACCCAUUGAAAUAAGUUAAGGAAGAGAGUUAAGAUUUAGAUGAAGCGUGAAGGAUAUUGUAAUCCUAGGCUUGUUUGAUUUGAUUUUCACUAAAGUUAUUAUUACUUUGUGUUUUCUUUUUAGUUUAAGUUUUGGUUAGCUAGUUUUAGUUAUUAAUUCAUUUAGAUUGUUUGGAUAAGAUUAAAUUGUUAUAAUUUUAGUACUUUGUAAAAUUUUAGAUCAAUUGUCUAUGGGAUCGAUACUUUACAAUUCUAUAUUAUCUAUUCGAUAUGUAUACUUGCGUAGUAGAAUUGUAACUAACAGGGAUUACCUCACACUAGUAAGGGAUAUGAUUCCAUUUGGGUUAUAGUGGAUAAAUUGACUAAGUCCACACAUUUCUCACCAGUGAAAGUCACCUAUGAGGUGGCACAAUAUGCGAGGUUGCACAUUGAGGAAAUAGUAUGAUUGCAAAGAAUUCUAGUUACCAUAGCCUUGGAUAGAGGUACACAGUUCAUUAGUUGAUUUUAGCAUAAAUUCCAAGAGGUUUUGGGGACUAUGCAUAAUUUUAGCACUACUUUUCAUUCUCAGACCGAUGGCCAGUCUGAAGAGACUAUACAAAUCUUAAAGGAUAUGUUACGAGCUUGUGUUGUUGAUUUUUAGGUCACUUGGGAUUGACACUUUCUUUUGAUAGAGUUCACCUACAAUAAUAGCUAUUAGGCUAGCAUUAAGAUGAUGCCUUAUAAGGCAUUGUAUGUGUGUAAUUGUAGAUCACCUAUUGCUUCGUUUGAUGUUGGUGAAUGGAAACUCCUUGGAUCGGAGAUGGUUCAAUAAGCAACUGAUAAGAUUCAAUUGAUUCAAGAUAGGUUGUUGACAGCUCAAAGUCGACAAAAGUCCUACGUCGACCAUCAUAGAUGUUGAAAUUUAGAGUUUUAGGUGGGUGACAUGCAUUUUUGAGAGUUUUGCCUACCAAAAGUAUUAGAGGUUUAGCAAGAAGGGCAAGCUAAGCUCAAGAAACAUUGAACCAAUUGAGAUCCUAGAGAGAGUUGGUGCAAUAGCUUAUAUAUUGAAGUUACCUCGAAUCUUUCUAGCAUUCACCCAAUGUUCCAUAUGUCUGUACUAUGUAAGUACAACCUUGAUUCGACCUAUGUGAUUUGUCAUGAGGAGAUUCUAUUAGGAAAUGACUUGUCAUUUGACAAAGUACCGAUUUAGAUAUUGGAUAGGAAAGUUAAGCGACUUUGCACUAAGGAUGUAGCUUUAAUGAAAGUCCUUUGGUGCAAUCACUCUAGCAAGGAUGUGACUUAGAAAGCCGAAGACAAGAUGCAUGCGAAGUACCCUCACUUGUUCCAAACUAGAAGUUAGUAAUUAGUUGCCUAAAUUCUAGGACGAAUUUUCCUAAAAGGGAGAUAAUGUGAAACUCUACUUCUUAAAUUAGGCUAGAUUUGUAAGCUAACUUGAUGAACUAUUAUUUAAUGUUUUGAACUUAAAUUCUAAACUAUUUUGAUUUUAAAAAUCUAUGUUUUGAUAACCAAACAUGUCUAUAUGAGAGUUGGUACCUUUAUGGAUUCAAAUAAGAUGGUUUUGGACUUAAAACUCCAUUUUAGACAAAAUGUAUCAAUCAUGUUCAUCAUGCAUCUAUACAUCAAACUCAGAAAGGGUUUUUUAUGAACAUGUAUCGAUAUAUGCUUAUCAUGUAUUGAUACAUGAGACUUAAGGCAUAAUGUAUUAAUACAUUAACCCCAUGUAUCGAUGCAUUAAGCGCAAACUUUAAGGUUAUUUCAAUCUUUUCUCACUCAUUUAAAAACCCUAAAACCUCAAAAUUUACCAUAUUUGGCUACAAACGUGGUUUUCAUUAAAACCCAACCACUCUCUUCCCUUUUUGCUCUCAACUCUCAUUUCUAACAAAUUCAUGGAUUUCAAGCAUUAAAAGUCAUCUUCAAGCUUGGAAUUUGAUUCAAAGAAUUUGAAAGGUAAAACUCUUUAUUUUAAACCUUUGAAACCAAUGUUUGAUUUUCUAGAAUUUAUAGAUUCUCAAAAAUUUGUUUUGCUCAUGUAAACUUAGGUUUUGAGUUGCUUUUUGGAACUCUCAAGAUCACCAAGAUAAAAUUGCUUAAACUCUACCUAGUAUUAGACUUAAAUCUUUUAGUUAAGUUUGAUUAGCUACUAAUUUUUUAAGUAUGAGCUUUUGGAAAAUAUUUAGUAAAGGAUUAGAUGAUUAUUAGUUUAAGAUUAUGUUAUAGAACCAAGUACUAAUGAUGGAAAACUUCAUGAUAGGUGUUGUGGAGAAAAGUUUGAAUUUUUAGAAAUCUAAGUGUUUGACAAAAUGUGCUAGAAAGCAAGGCAUGUUUCUUUGAUGUGGGUAGAUGUAGUGUUUUUUUUAUAUUAUAAUAUAAUUAAGCAUAUGCCUAUUCUACAACCUUGCAUAUGAAUGAAUUGCAAUGAGUUUGCGUUGUAAGCAAAGGUUUACAAGUAUGUUUUGAUGAAAACUAUAAAGCAAGUAUAUAUGACUGAUGAUUUUAAAUGUUAAUGUGAGAAUUGAUUUCUCCUUGGUGAGGCCAUGGUAUUUAUGGUCAUUUAUCUUGAGAUUAUUAAUAUGGUUGAUUGAUUCUGGCUUUGGUUAUGUCCCAACCUCUAUGAUAUCUUGGUGACGGGUUUCUAUCAGAGCCUCAAGUUGUUUAGGUCUUAGGGUGUUAUGGUCAGGUCCAGUGGAGAGUCGAGUUUUUAUGUGAAAUUUUUAAUUAUGAACUGUGAGCCGCGGCACAUUUCAUAAUCGAGGAACCGCAUAAAUUCCCAAUCUUAGAAACCACCUUAUCUCUUUAACUGUGGUUAAUGACAAGUGUUUGCUCUUGUCUAGGUAAGAAUGCCACCUAAGACACGGGCCACCUUAAGACAAGUGGGGGAGUAAGAUGCCCCUACUGAGAUGACUAAUAGGCCAAGGGCACCCACCCGUAGAGGGCGAGGUAGACGUGGCAGGGUCGCUAGGCUGGUGAGAGCGAGUACGCCUGUGAAUAGGAGAGAUGAGGGAUAACCCUUAGGUGAGACUGUUAGGCCACCGACGAGAGGCAUUAUUGUUGAAGACUUGGCGACGGGUCUGCAAGGAGUCAAUCGGGUUGUAAAAAUGAUGGCAGCUCGUAUAGAGCAUAUACAAAAAAUAGUAGAGAGGAGACAUGUGGAGCAAGAGUCUCCUAGUUCCCAAGAACAAACAAAUUGCCAACCUCCCAAGGGUUAUCAGGGUCGUAGAGACUUUAGUGAUGGGAUUUCAUUUUCUAGCCGUCAAGGCCCACAUGGGGAAUUAAGGUUACCCUAACAAGGGAGUAACGUGAUGAGUACCAGUGUUGAGUUAAGGCAGGAAGCUUUUAGUGGAAGGAGGCAACAACAAGACUCAAGGUAAAUUAAUCAGGCUAUUCCUCCCUGUGAUAAUUGUGGAAGACGACACAAAGGACGAUGCUAUUUUCCCCUGAAAACUUGUUUUGGUUGUGGCCAGCUUGGACAUAGGGUGAGGAACUGUCCGAUGGCCCAACAAUCGCAAGGUUCUGUUCGCAAUCCUAAUCAACCAGCUUUGUCUGCUCCUUCGACAACUGCUUCAAUUGGCCAAGAGGUUAAUGAGAUAAGAGAUAGAGGCGCUGGUGCUUCCUCUCGGGGUAGACCAUCUAGGUCUGGACGUCAGAGCUUAUUGAGAGCGGCCCAAGCGAGGGUGUAUGCUUUAACUCCCCAAGAGGCCCAAAACUCAAAUGCAGUGGUCUCAGGUAUUUUUCCUAUUUGUGAUAUGAAUGCUUGGGUGUUGUUUGAGCCUGGUUUAACUUAUCUGCUUAUUUCUACAUGUUUUGAAAAUCGAUUGAGUAAGAAUCGUGUUAGGAGAGAAGAAUACUUGGUGGUACCUACUCCUUUAAAUGAGGUAUUUGUGACUGAAUAAGAAAAUAAAUCCUGCAUAGCUCGAAUCAAGGAUAAAAAUACCUUAGUGAAUUUAGUGGUGUUAGACACCUUAAGGAGCUUAAGGAUCAGUUGGAGGAUCCUUAUGGAAAGAAAGAAAAGAUGUUUACCAAAGGCACAAAUGAAAUAUUGAGGUAUGGAAAUAGACUUUAUGUGCCGGAUAAUGAUGAAUUGAGGAUAGAGAUAUUGGAGGAGGCGCAUAUGGCAGCCUAUGUGGUACAUUCAGGAGCUUGGCAACGAGGCUGAGUGAUACUGCUUGCCAAGUGCUCUGAUAGGUACCCUUUGUUGCUCGUCACGGAAGGGAGAAAGGGCUGCCCUGAAGGGUGAAGCCACCCCUAGUGACAAUGUUGGUAUCAGGAUUUAAAGGAGGUGACAUGGGAAGAUGAGGAUGAGAUGCGGACAAAGCAUCCACACCUCUUCGAUAUGUAAAGGUAAGCCACUCUACAUUGAAUUUAAAUUCAGGGACCGAAUUUUUAUUAAUGGGGGAGAAUAUGAGACCUUGUCAAGCUCGAUUAAAAGACGAUAUUGUACCGAGUGGUACAACUAAGUUAAAUCGAGCCUUGAACUAGUUCAAAUACAAAUUCUAAGAGAAAAUUGAAAAUUUUGAAACCCACAGAAUGGUUUAGAAUAGUGAUUCAGAGUUCAAGGUCUAGUUUGGAGUUCAUUAGGAAAAUUGACCGAUUAGGGAUAAAACGGUCAUUUUACCAUUUGAUGAUAAAAUGGAGAUUUCUAUCCAAGAUUUGAUCACAUUUAACCAAGAAUAAUUAUAUGAAAUAUAAUUAUAAUUAUUGGAGUAUAAAAUGAUGUUUAGCAGUGAAAAAUUGUGAUUCCCGGUAUUUUUAGAGCACAAGGGCAAAAUGGUAAUUUUUUCGUUAGAGGACUAAACGAGAAUUUUUAUAAAACGAUUUUUUGCCCUAUUUGGUUAAUAUUGAUCAAUAUUAGUGUUAUUUAAGGUUGAAAAGUAGAAAUAAUGUGAUUUCAGUACAUUUCAGAAUAUAGGGGCAAAAUCGUAAUUUUUUCUUCUCGAGGGCAAAUCGGUAAAUUUUUUGCCCCAGAACUUGUCAAGACCAAGGGAUUUUAAUUGUGGUAGGAUUGGAUAAAUACCAGAAUAUUUGUGAUGAAAAAUUAAGAAGAAAAAGUCAAAAAGUUAAAAAAAAUUGGGCCAAUAAGCAUGUGACACGUGGCAUGCUUGAUUAUUUUAUUAUUUUCUACAGAAAUCAGCCCAUUAAAUCCCCAAUUCUCUCACCAUAUUCGGCCUAGGCAACCAGCAACAAGAACAAAGGAAGAACAAAGGGAAAAACAAGAAAACCUAGGUAAAAAUUCAAAGAAAAAGUGAAAAAAUCAAGGAAACAAGCAAGGUAAGUUAGAAUUUCUUUAAUUCUCCUUGAUACCUAGCUUACCCAUGCUUUUGUUCUUGAUUUUUAUGGUUGAAUAUUGAGUUAUCAUGAUGAAUUCAAUUCUGAAAAAUGGGUAUGGAAGAAGAAUUGUUGUUGGAAUAAUUUGAUUUUAGACUAUGUUAAUGUUUAGGGAUAGUUAAGCAUGGUUAUGAACAAAAACAUAAAAGAAAUAUUCAAUUUCUCUAGGGUUCCUUGUUGGUAGAACCAUGAGGGUUGAAUAUCAAUGGGUGAUUAUUUUUAUUUCAUGGAAAAUGGCUUGAAAAAUGAUGAAUUAAGGUGAAACGAUUAUGUAAAAAAAAUUUCGGUGCUAAUGCACGAAAUGAUCAAAUUUUUCUAUAAGGAACUGUAAAGGUUCUAAUGUUGAAUUUGGCUUUAUUUAAAUGGUAUGUGGUAAAUUAAGGUAUUAGAGGAGAAAUGGAUUAAUUUGGAGGUGAUUUGGACACAAUCGCCAAUUAAUCGGUGAUCGGUCGAAUUUAAUCAAUACCGCGAUUAAGCGGUAAUCGGACGUAUUUUUGCAUUUACAUAUCAAGCAUUAGUAAUUUAAAUUAGUUUAUAUCAAUUUAGGGACAAUAUAGUAAAUUCCUUGACUUUGUUAUUUGUCAAGGUAGUGAGACGUCCGAAAAAGGUAAAAGAAUUGCGCAUGAGGACUAUUAGUCCUAGUGCACCCGGAAUCUGAAUUUUCGAUAUCGGUGAGUGGACUUGCAUUUCAAACUUGUUUUGGGGAAUAUGAAAGAUUCUAUCCAACUUGUCUUAGAAAAUGUAUCUUGGGAACAAGCUUUUGUUAAA
rnacentral:lncRNA from 1 species